rnacentral:rRNA from 1 species
AUUGAACGCUGGCGGCAGGCUUAACACAUGCAAGUCGAGCGGGGUGAUGGUGCUUGCACUAUCACUUAGCGGCGGACGGGUGAGUAAUGCUUAGGAAUCUGCCUAUUAGUGGGGGACAACAUCUCGAAAGGGAUGCUAAUACCGCAUACGUCCUACGGGAGAAAGCAGGGGAUUACUUGUGACCUUGCGCUAAUAGAUGAGCCUAAGUCGGAUUAGCUAGUUGGUGGGGUAAAGGCCUACCAAGGCGACGAUCUGUAGCGGGGCUGAGAGGAUGCUCCGCCACACUGGGACUGAGACCCGGCCCAGAAUCCUUCGGGAGGCAGCAGUGGGGAAUAUUGGAGAAUGGGGGGAACCCUGAUCCAGCCAUGCCGCGUGUGUGAAGAAGGCCUUGUGGUUGUAAAGCACUUUAAGCGAGGAGGAGGCUACUUUAGUUAAUACCUAGGGAUAGUGGACGUUACUCGCAGAAUAAGCACCGGCUAACUCUGUGCCAGCCGCCGCAGUAA